AACAUAACUCUCUUCGAUUUUGAUUAUGAUACUUCGUAUCUCCUUACUCCUUUCCUGCUUUCGAUCCUUAAUCUCAAAAAAAUCCUAUCCCUAAAUCUUUUCUUGUUUUUGUCUUCAAUCUUCAUUCUGUUCUCAGAUCUAUAGUUCGAUAUCUGUUUUAUUUAUUCAUUUAGGGCUCAUUUGUAGAUCUCUCGAGUGUUGAAGUAGUCUUUAUAUAUUUCGUUAUUUGGAUCUGGAAUUUUGGAGUUUUGAGUUAUGGAGGUAGCUUAAAAUCAUUGCUUAAUUCAAUUUAAGGGGGUUUUCGGAUAUUGGUGUGAAAUUUGAAUAGGUUUUCAAAUUAAGACUUUUUACAAUUUGUUCCCGGCUGUUAGGUACAUGUAAUUCUUGCGAAGCCUCCAAUUCGUAUAUAUUCCUUGGAGUUUAGACAAUUUCUUAUAACAAUUUGAUAGGAUUGCUGAUCUGUGUGUGGACUUGGUAGUAGGCUUGAGUUUUGUGGGUUAUUCAGAGAGGAGGAUAUGGCAAGGUGAGAUUUGUUUCUUUCUUGCAUAAACCUCUCAACUUAUCUUGCAACCCCUGAAACUUGAAAAUAUAGCAAUUGUGGUUGCGCCCUGAAUUUUUGUACUCGCACGCUUAUUUUUACUUCGGACAUAGGCAAAAAAACUUACAAUAACUUAGUUGUAGACAAUUCAUACUUUUAAGAACUCAAAGGACUGUCAAAGAACUACAAAUGCAUAGCGUAUAGAUAUUCAUGCUAAAUAUAAAAUAUUUUCUUGUGUUUAUGCACUUUGUGUUUUGCCAUAAUUUCUCACUUUGAAUAUUAUUGUUUGCAAUGCAAUUGUAAGGUGCAUCUAUCAUCACAUGGUGAUGUUUAUGCUAAGAUCUCAGGCUACUGAAGAUGACAUUACUGAUGUUUCAGUUUGGUAAUAACAUAUUCUCUUAAUCUUUCCAACCCAAUCACUAGAAAAGAGAAAAGGGAGAUUUAUGUAUUUUGCAAAAUUAUUUGUAUUGUUAUCCGAGGCAGAAAGGUUCCCUAUUGAACUUUAUCUAAUUGUGCUCAGAAAAAUGAAGCAUGUGUAUCCAGAAGCAUAUGUUAAAAGUACAGGCACUGAACCAACAGGGUUCAGAUUUCUCUUUGACAAGAAGCUUCAGAACAGUUGUAACGACCCGAUCGGUCGUUUCGAGUACUAGUGCUCCGUUCAGCAGUCGGAGGCCAUGAACAGCUCCGUUUCAGGUAUAUAUACCUCUAGCAGCCUAUUGGGCGUAACAGCACGGACGACUCUAGGACUAGAAAGCAGCUGAGCGAUAUCUUCCAACUCUUGAGAUCAAGGAAGGGUUUCCCAUAACCAUGGAUGACAUGGAUGGCAUCCAUGUCUGGAGUUUUAGAUACAUGUCUGAGGUUUUUUUCUUCUUUUUUCAAAUUUACUUGAGGGAGCGAUAUUUCUAAGCCAGUGAAGCAAUAUAGAUUGAAGUGUCCGGGCGAGGAUGUGAAGACUAGCAUAUUAGAUAAACACAAUUAAACUAUUUGAUGCUGGUCAUCCUUGAGCUAGAUGACAAUCUUAAUACCUGGCAUUAUAGUGAUAUUUUGCUAGUGCCUUAACAAAUUGGAUGAUUAAAUCAACAUUAAGGAGGGGAAGGGGGAUUAAGAAUAACAUAGAAUAUACAGUUGCUUAAGUAGCUGAAAAUCAUAACAGUUUAGAUUCGACUAGUAAAUUUCUUAUUCAGUUUGCUCUUUUUCUUGACCACUAAAUUGAACUUCGAUUUUUGUACAUCAAUGGGCAUAGCCAAACUCUAUCCUUCGUUGUCCUGGUCAUGUUUUGCUAAUGGAAUUCUAUUUAAGAAGUGUGUGAUAAAGGGGCAACUUAAAGAGUGAAUUUGUUGCAGGUUGGAGUUUAUACAACUUCAAUAGCAUAUCUGAUAUCUCAGCGGUCAAGAAACAAUAAGCAAACUGAAAUAAAGAAAUUCAUUAGUCGAACCCAAACUGUAUCCUUUGCCUUCCUUGUCUUUUCUUGCAACUGGAAUUUUAUCUAGUAAAUGCAUGAUAAAGGAACCACUUAAAAGGGUGCAUUUGUUACAGGGUUUCUUAAGUAGUACUUAAAGUAUCAAAGAGCGUCUUCACUUCUUUAUCUUUUCCUCUUUUGAUUUUUGAAUCUGCAGUUGAAUUGUUGAUCUAGCAUUGUAUUUCAUGUUGUGAGCUGCCAAAAUUUUCUCAUUAUAGUUAUCUUUUGACUUUCAGAUUGCAAGCAUUUUUGUCCCUACAAUUGUAACUUUGUCUUUAUUUACAUUCUUGGGAUGGUGAGCUUCUCUUGACUAUUCUAUUUGCAAUUGUCUGCUAUGCGAUAAUAUAUCACCAAUCAUUUUCAUGUUGUGUGCCUUAAUACUGGAUAAGUUAUUACACUCACCAGGUAUGUUGCUGGGCUUCUUGGAGGCUAUCCAGAAGAAUGGCUGCCAGAAAAUGGCAAUUAUUUCGUGUUCGCUCUCAUGUAUGCAAUCAGUUGUGGUGAUCGCAUGUCCAUGUGCACUUGGUUUGGCCACUCCCAGUGCAUACUAUAUAUUUGUUUCUUUCUAAUUUUUAAUUUCAUUUUGAAUGUGUAGGAAAAUACCGGUGAUGCAAUUAGAAAUGGUGGCCACAAAUAAAUUUGAUUCAUUAAAGUGAAUGGUGAAGAUCUUUUGAACAAUUGUGAUGUUUAUUUUUUUUAUAUUGAUACUAUAAACAUGAAUACAUUUGGUUUUGUCGAGGUCUUUGCUAGUGAACUUCUUGAACCAACAGUGCUUUAUUACAAUAUAGGUAAUACGAAAGUAUGUUUCUUUGUUGAA